AGGACGAACGCUGGCGGCGUGCCUAAUACAUGCAAGUGGAACGCAUGAUUGAUACCGGAGCUUGCUCCACCAUUAAUCAUGAGUCGCGAACGGGUGAGUAACGCGUAGGUAACCUACCUCAUAGCGGGGGAUAACUAUUGGAAACGAUAGCUAAUACCGCAUAACAGUAUUUAUCGCAUGGUAAAUGCUUGAAAGGAGCAACUGCUUCACUAUGAGAUGGACCUGCGUUGUAUUAGCUAGUUGGUGGGGUAACGGCUCACCAAGGCAUCGAUACAUAGCCGACCUGAGAGGGUGAUCGGCCACACUGGGACUGAGACACGGCCCAGACUCCUACGGGAGGCAGCAGUAGGGAAUCUUCGGCAAUGGGGGGAACCCUGACCGAGCAACGCCGCGUGAGUGAAGAAGGUUUUCGGAUCGUAAAGCUCUGUUGUAAGAGAAGAACGUGUGUGAGAGUGGAAAGUUCACACAGUGACGGUAACUUACCAGAAAGGGACGGCUAACUACGUGCCAGCAGCCGCGGUAAUACGUAGGUCCCGAGCGUUGUCCGGAUUUAUUGGGCGUAAAGCGAGCGCAGGCGGUUUGAUAAGUCUGAAGUAAAAGGCUGUGGCUUAACCAUAGUAUGCUUUGGAAACUGUCAAACUUGAGUGCAGAAGGGGAGAGUGGAAUUCCAUGUGUAGCGGUGAAAUGCGUAGAUAUAUGGAGGAACACCGGUGGCGAAAGCGGC
rnacentral:rRNA from 1 species